GGAAGUCGCUGACGCCAGCUGAGCAGCUCAGAUACUUCCAAGAAUCUGAGCGCCACCAGGUACCCGGACUGGACCGACAGAGACAACUUCGACAAAAGAGAAAGUGGGGCAGUGCAGCCACCAGCGUAAAUCAUCUGACUGCGCCUGCACCAGAGCUUUUGGUACCGGCCCCAGUGCCCUCAACAGGGCCCGACGAGGACCUCGUGUCCAGUAUUUUAUUGGGGGACACAGACUUUGGGGGCUCCGCACUGAGCCUGGAUGUGGGGCCCGAGGUGGACCUGACGGUGGCCUUGUACAGGCAGCUUGAAGCACUGGAGGCGGAGGAAGCGGCCGGAUCGGAGCAUAGACUUUAAAUGUAUU